rnacentral:rRNA from 1 species
CCUACGGGUGGCUGCAGUGGGGAAUAUUGCACAAUGGGCGCAAGCCUGAUGCAGCCAUGCCGCGUGUGUGAAGAAGGCCUUCGGGUUGUAAAGCACUUUCAGCGGGGAGGAAGGCGGUGAGGUUAAUAACCUCAUCGAUUGACGUUACCCGCAGAAGAAGCACCGGCUAACUCCGUGCCAGCAGCCGCGGUAAUACGGAGGGUGUAAGCGUUAAUCGGAAUUACUGGGCGUAAAGCGCACGCAGGCGGUCUGUCAAGUCGGAUGUGAAAUCCCCGGGCUCAACCUGGGAACUGCAUUCGAAACUGGCAGGCUAGAGUCUUGUAGAGGGGGGUAGAAUUCCAGGUGUAGCGGUGAAAUGCGUAGAGAUCUGGAGGAAUACCGGUGGCGAAGGCGGCCCCCUGGACAAAGACUGACGCUCAGGUGCGAAAGCGUGGGGAGCAAACAGGAUUAGAUACCCUAGUAGUC